rnacentral:rRNA from 1 species
ACUCCUACGGGAGGCAGCAGUGGGGAAUAUUGCACAAUGGGCGCAAGCCUGAUGCAGCCAUGCCGCGUGUGUGAAGAAGGCCUUCGGGUUGUAAAGCACUUUCAGUCGUGAGGAAGGUGGUAGUGUUAAUAGCACUUAUCAUUUGACGUUAGCGACAGAAGAAGCACCGGCUAACUCCGUGCCAGCAGCCGCGGUAAUACGGAGGGUGCGAGCGUUAAUCGGAAUUACUGGGCGUAAAGCGUGCGCAGGCGGUCUGUUAAGCGAGAUGUGAAAGCCCCGGGCUCAACCUGGGAACUGCAUUUCGAACUGGCAGACUAGAGUCUUGUAGAGGGGGGUAGAAUUCCAGGUGUAGCGGUGAAAUGCGUAGAGAUCUGGAGGAAUACCGGUGGCGAAGGCGGCCCCCUGGACAAAGACUGACGCUCAGGCACGAAAGCGUGGGGAGCAAACAGGAUUAGAUACCCUGGUAGCUA